rnacentral:lncRNA from 1 species
GGAAAACAGAAGAAAGAACCUAACCGGGACCCGCCUGGGGUUUGCUGUUCCUUUCUGUUUCUCUUUCCUUUUACCAUGAAUGGCGGAACACAUCUGCAUUGUUUCCCCGGGUGUUGGAAGGAUCCCAUGCCGGGAUCCCCGAGAGGUGGCGUCGGGACCGUGUGCCUGGGCCGCCCUGCCCAGCAGCAGAGCAUGUCCCGCCUGGACUUGGAGGAGCUGGCCGAAAUAGGUAAAAGCAUGUUCUCCUUCCAGCCUCGUCCUGCGAGAUCAUUGGCGUACAUUUGCUUUUAAAAAGAUAAUAUAUACAUGUCGCUCAAAAAGUCUAACCCUGUAAAAAGUGCUCGGUGAGGUUGUCCAUCUCCCUCCUCUGGGGUCUUACUCUCCCCCUUCCCAGCUAGCCGCAGAGAGUGCC